UACACAUGCAAGUCGAACGAUGAACACCGGAGCUUGCUCUGGUGGGAUUAGUGGCGAACGGGUGAGUAACACGUGAGCAAUCUGCCCCCGACUCUGGGAUAACCCCGAGAAAUCGGAGCUAAUACCGGAUACGACACCUCCUGGCAUCAGGUGGGUGUGGAAAGAAUUUCGGUUGGGGAUGAGCUCGCGGCCUAUCAGCUUGUUGGUGAGGUAAUGGCUCACCAAGGCGACGACGGGUAGCCGGCCUGAGAGGGUGACCGGCCACACUGGGACUGAGACACGGCCCAGACUCCUACGGGAGGCAGCAGUGGGGAAUAUUGCACAAUGGGCGCAAGCCUGAUGCAGCAACGCCGCGUGGGGGACGACGGCCUUCGGGUUGUAAACCUCUUUUGGCAGGGAAGAAGCGAAAGUGACGGUACCUGCAGAAAAAGCACCGGCUAACUACGUGCCAGCAGCCGCGGUAAUACGUAGGGUGCAAGCGUUGUCCGGAAUUAUUGGGCGUAAAGAGCUCGUAGGCGGUGUGUCACGUCUGCUGUGAAAAUCCAAGGCUCAACCUUGGACUUGCAGUGGGUACGGGCACACUCGAGUGCGGUAGGGGAGAUUGGAAUUCCUGGUGUAGCGGUGGAAUGCGCAGAUAUCAGGAGGAACACCGAUGGCGAAGGCAGAUCUCUGGGCCGUAACUGACGCUGAGGAGCGAAAGCGUGGGGAGCGAACAGGAUUAGAUACCCUGGUAGUCCACGCCGUAAACGGUGGGAACUAGAUGUGGGGUCCGUUCCACGGAUUCCGUGUCGCAGCUAACGCAUUAAGUUCCCCGCCUGGGGAGUACGGCCGCAAGGCUAAAACUCAAGGAAUUGACGGGGGC
rnacentral:rRNA from 1 species